CGUCCGCAAGGGGCAACCGGCGAACGGGUGAGUAACACGUGGGCAACCUGCCCCGAGCUCUGGGAUAACCCCGGGAAACCGGGGCUAAUACCGGAUAUGACAUCGACAGACAUCUGUCGUUGUGGAAAGUUUUUCGGCUCGGGAUGGGCCCGCGGCCUAUCAGCUUGUUGGUGGGGUAACGGCCUACCAAGGCGACGACGGGUAGCCGGCCUGAGAGGGCGACCGGCCACACUGGGACUGAGACACGGCCCAG
rnacentral:rRNA from 1 species